rnacentral:rRNA from 1 species
CCUACGGGUGGCAGCAGUGGGGAAUCUUGCACAAUGGGCGAAAGCCUGAUGGAGCAACGCCGCGUGGGUGAAGAAGGUCUUCGGAUCGUAAAACCCUGUUGUUAGAGAAGAAAGGGCGUGGGAGUAACUGUUCACGAUUCGACGGUAUCUAACCAGAAAGCCACGGCUAACUACGUGCCAGCAGCCGCGGUAAUACGUAGGUGGCGAGCGUUAUCCGGAUUUAUUGGGCGUAAAGGGCACGCAGGCGGUCUUUUAAGUCUGAGGUGAAAGCCCUCGGCUUAACCGGAGUAGUGCAUUGGAAACUGGGAGACUGGAGUGCAGAAGAGGAGAGUGGAACUCCAGGUGUAGCGGUGAAAUGCGUAGAUAUAUGGAAGAACACCAGUGGCGAAGGCGACUCUCUGGUCUGUAACUGACGCUGAGGUUCGAAAGCGUGGGUAGCAAACAGGAUUAGAUACCCCUGUAGUC